GAUGAACGCUGGCGGCGUGCCUAAUACAUGCCAGUCGAGCGAACGGACGAGAAGCUUGCUUCUCUGAUGUUAGCGGCGGACGGGUGAGUAACACGUGGAUAACCUACCUAUAAGACUGGGAUAACUUCGGGAAACCGUAGCUAAUACCGGAUAAUAUUUUGAACCGCAUGGUUCAAAAGUGAAAGACGGUCUUGCUGUCACUUAUAGAUGGAUCCGCGCUGCAUUAGCUAGUUGGUAAGGUAACGGCUUACCAAGGCAACGAUGCAUAGCCGACCUGAGAGGGUGAUCGGCCACACUGGAACUGAGACACGGUCCAGACUCCUACGGGAGGCAGCAGUAGGGAAUCCUCCGCAAUGGGCGAAAGCCUGACGGAGCAACGCCGCGUGAGUGAUGAAGGUCUUCGGAUCGUAAAACUCUGUUAUUAGGGAAGAACAUAUGUGUAAGUAACUGUGCACAUCUUGACGGUACCUAAUCAGAAAGCCACGGCUAACUACGUG
rnacentral:rRNA from 1 species